rnacentral:lncRNA from 1 species
UACAGAUGUAGCGGAGAACCCUGUUUCGGAGCGGGGGAAAGGCUGCUGCAAACUGUUUCUUAGGCAAGCCAGUUGAGAAACGCUCAUCCGACCGGAAGGAAAAAUCGUCAUCAUAAAUGCAAAGACGUUAGAGGGAAAAAGCCGAACGUUGUCGAGGCGCCGCUGGUAUACCUGUGCAAAGCAGGUUGGUUGGAGAGCAGGACGUUGUCCACUCGAAUGUGAGAAGCCGACUCAGAUCAACUAGUAGGUCCACGCUGCGUAAAAGCGUGGAAUCCCUGAACGGCAUGGAUGUCUCUGAAGCAAAGUCAGCCAACGCAACGGCAAUCAAGGAAGCUAUGCUUGGACGGGCGCACAGAUAUAUACGAACAUGGCGCGUCUGUGGGACAAGAAACAGUACUUCGACCCUCCCAUAGAACGGCAGCCAGUAAAGAGCCCUCUCUGGCACGUUUUUAUCAUUUUUGCACUGCCUUCCUGUAGUGUUUCAGUGCCCCGGACUAUGAUCUGUUCAGAUGCAUCUGGUUGUAAUGGCACUUUCUGUCUUCUGAUUGGAAGAGCCAUCUGUUUCCCUUCAUAAAUGCGCAGCGCUCUCAUGCAGGGAAAGAAGGUGCUUAUUUGAAGUGAACGGUUUGGUAAACAUGAGCAGGGCGUCCCGAUAUACUCACGUGUACCAUACACUUUAAGGAUAAACAAGUUAGGAGGGAAGACAAUAUGCCAGCAUAAAACGCUUCUGAAGAGCCUUGGAAGUUCGGUGACUGAAAUUUAAUCUACCACAUCUUCAUUCCCCAUCACUACGUGUGGGCGGAUCUUCUAAACCAGGUUUCGUGGUCUGCUUUACCAGAAUACGCCGCUGUUCGACGCUGCAAGGUAAUGCCAGUUGUAGCAGCCUCGGGUGGGGUUCAGAUGUCGAUUGACGUUGCGCGCUUCUUCAUCGUAUGCGGAAACCAAUAUUCUUAUCUGACGAAAUAUGGACUGCCCCCCCUUUUAUCCAUUCGACGCU